rnacentral:rRNA from 1 species
UACGAAGGGAGCUAGCGUUGCUCGGAAUCACUGGGCGUAAAGCGCACGUAGGCGGCUUCUUAAGUCAGGGGUGAAAUCCUGGAGCUCAACUCCAGAACUGCCUUUGAUACUGAGGAGCUUGGAGUCCGGGAGAGGUGAGUGGAACUGCGAGUGUAGAGGUGAAAUUCGUAGAUAUUCGCAAGAACACCAGUGGCGAAGGCGGCUCACUGGCCCGGUACUGACGCUGAGGUGCGAAAGCGUGGGGAGCAAACAGG